rnacentral:rRNA from 1 species
AGCGAACGCUGGCGGCAGGCCUAACACAUGCAAGUCGAACAGACCCUUGGGGGUUGGUUGCGGACGGGUGAGUGACACGUGGUAACGUGCCGUUAGGAUCGGAAUAGCUCCUGGAAACGGGUGGUAAUGACGAAUGUGCCCUUCGUGGGAAAGAUUUAUGGCCUUUAGGGCGGCCCGCGUCUGAUUAGCUAGUUGGUGAGGUAAUGGCUCACCAAGGCGACGAUCAGUAGUUGGUCUGAGAGGAUGACCAGGCACAUUGGGUACUGAGACACGGCCCGAGCUCCCACAGGAGGCAGUAGUGGGGAAUCUUUCGCAAUGGGCGAAAGCCUGACGCAGCCAUGCCGGGUGGAUGAUGAAGGUCUUAGGAUUGUAAAUCCUUUCACCGGUGAAGAUAAUGACUGUAGCCGGAGAAGAAGCCCCGGCUAACUUCGUGCCAGCCGCCGCGGUAAAAC